rnacentral:rRNA from 1 species
GGUAAUGGUGGGCCAGGUGCUGGGGUAAUACAGAUGGUGCAAGCGUGGUUCGGAAUUAUUGGGCGUAAAGCGCGUGUAGGCGGCGUGUUAUGUCGGGUGUGAAAGCCCGCAGCGUAACUGAGGAAGUUCGCCCGAAACUGGCGAGCUUGAGUACCGGAGAGGAGAGCGGAACACCCGGUGUAGAGGUGAAAUUCGUAGAUAUCGGGUAGAACACCAGUGGCGAAGGCGGCUCUCUGGACGGAUACUGACGCUGAGACGCGAAAGCGUGGGGAGCAAACAGGAUUAGAUACCCUGGUAGUC